UCUCAGUUUUCAGGGGAUAUUCUAAUCUUAUACGUUGGUUAUCCGAGAUUCGAAUACCUCUUAGCUAGAAUAGGUCUGGUAGAUGGUCUUACCUAUUCUAAAUCUUCGACUAUCUAUAAGACAAUCCUUAUUCGAAAUAGAAUACCCUUCGUACUUCCGGGUAUUCGAAGAUCGAGUUUGAAUAAAACGCCCCCUCCGUAUUCGAAUUCGAAUACCAGGUAUUCGAAUUUUUGCAUCAGCGUCAGUAAACGUUGCCAUCCAAGAGAUAUUUAUCAAUAAAAAUCAUUUUAAAAUACAGAAUACUGGAUAGAAAUCCCACAAAUAAUUCUUAGACACCGGGAUUUGAUUUAAUAUAACAGAUUUAGCAAUAUUGAAACAAUAAAUAUUUUUUGUCAAAUCUAAUUUGAAAUAUGGCAAACAUCCAGCAUGCAAAAAAGUUAAUGACGGUCGUCAGUGCAGACAAUUUUGACAGUUAUGUGAUUGAGGGCUUUAAUGGAAUCUAAAACUUGUAUCUCAACUUUAUCUGCAGAAGACCUGCGGUUGCAUCUCCUGUCGACUAACAAACUGCCGGCUGGAAUUCCAGAAAAAUUGCUAGUUAUAGUUAAAGGCAAUUAUUCUCAACUGACAAGUCACUUGAAACUUUUUCAUGGCUUCCUUAAAACAACAGGUCAUAGUAACAGAACUUUGUAUUGUGGGAACGCUGACUGCAAGGCUGGCUUCAACAGUUUUGCUAAAUAUAGAGACCACGUUAUCAA